rnacentral:rRNA from 1 species
GAAGUUGGAUUCGCUAGUAAUCGCGCAUCAGCCAUGGCGCGGUGAAUACGUUCCCGGGCCUUGUACACACCGCCCGUCAAGCCAUGGGAGUUGGGGGUGCCUGAAGUACGUGACCGCAAGGAGCGUCCUAGGGCAAAACCGAUGACUGGGGCUAAGUCGUAACAAGGUAGC